CCCCGUUUAAUGUCUCUCUCCCCCUUUCUCGAUCCUCCAUCUUUUCUCUGCUAUUGCUUUUAUUUCCAAUUCAAUUUCACUUCCUCCAUUUUUGCAAUCUCUCUCUCUCUCUCUCUCUCUCUCUCUCUCUCCACCCAAUCUCUUUUUCAUUUUCAAUUCGAAUUCUGCCGGUUCACAAAUCAAUUGAAUCAUCGAAUUUGAUAAGCCCCAGGCAAGCGGCUCAGUAUCGAGCCUCUGAAGCUCAGUAUUUCCUGUCAAAUAGUGAAGACUCCGGCAACCAGAAGCUGGAGUUGCUAGGCUUGGAGGGCAAAUGACAAACGAGGAGGUCAAGAGCUUGAACAAACGGUUAGAGCUGUUUCUUCAUGCUUUCGCUUUUCAAUUUGUUAGGUGCUUCAUUUGGAACCUCCUUUUUAAUAUGAGGGGAUGAGUUUUUAUUAUCUAAUUAUCUCGUAAAAUUUCUUUUAAUUACUUUUCUAGUACAAAUACAUCUUAAAUAGUUUAUCGCAAUCAUUCAAUUUCCAUAUGGUUUGACCUCUUUUCAUUGUUGACGUGGGAUUCUAUCUUUGUGAAUGUUGAUCUAUCCCUAAUGAGUUUUUAACUCGAUUAAAUUAUAAUACUAUGUUUGAUGUGUU